rnacentral:rRNA from 1 species
CUCUGGGAUAACUGCGGGAAACUGUAGCUAAUACCGGAUACGACCUUGGAACAUCUUCCGGGGUGGAAAGUUUUUCGGUCAAGGAUCAGCUCGCGGCCUAUCAGCUAGUGUGAGGUAACGGCUCACCAAGGCAACGACGGGUAGCCGGCCUGAGAGGGUGACCGGCCACUGGGACUGAGACACGGCCCCAGACUCCUACGGGAGGCAGCAAGUGGGGAAUAUUGCAAAUGGGCGAAAAGCUCUGAUGCAGCAAACGCCGCGUGAGGGGACGAAGGCCUUCGGGGUAAACCUCUUUUAGUAGGGGAAGAAAGCGAAAAGUGACGGUACCUGCAGAAAAAAGCCGGCUAACUCCGUGCCAGCAGCCGCGGUAAUACGGAGGGUGCGAGCGUUAUCCGGAUUCUGGGUUUAAAGGGUGCGCAGGCGGGCUUUUAAGUCAGCGGUGAAACCCGCGGGCUCACCGCGGACUGCCGAUGAUACUAGGGGCCUUGGAUGUCGCUGAGGGCAGCGGAAUGGGGUGUAGCGGUGAAAUGCAUAGAUAUGCCCCGGAACACCGAUUGCGGAGGCAGCUGCCUAGGACGAUCGACGCUGAGGCACGAAAGCGUGGGUAGCGAACAGGAUUAGAUACCCUGGUUCCACGCCCUAAACGAUGAUUACUCGACGUCCGCGGCAUACUGUGGGCGUCCAAGCGA